GAUUUUUUAAUCAAACACUUAACAGUGUAGAGAGAUCAUGUCGCUACGCGAAAAAUACAGAGUCACCAUCGAUUUUUAUUUAUUCCAAAGGAAAGGGAAAAUAUCGAGAAAAUCCCAAAGAAUGGUCAUCGCAACUACGAACAGGUUCGGAAGUCAGUUAUGCAAGGGGAAAGUAUUAGCACCUCUCACAUCCAUGGUACUCCAUGGGAACCAUCUAGGAUGUUUACGCUUGAAUGAGAUUU
rnacentral:lncRNA from 1 species